AGAGUUUGAUCCUGGCUCAGGAUAAACGUUGGCGGUGUGCCUGAGAUAUGCAAGUCGAAUGUCCCCGCUGCAAGGCGGGGUAAUGGCGGACGGCUGAGUAACACGUAGAAAUCUGCCUCAAAGUGAAGACUAGUCCAUCGAAAGGUGGAGUAAUGCUUCAUGUGUUAGAUGCAAAUCUAAUAAAGAGUGUAACUACUUGCUUUGAGAUGAGUCUGCGGUCUAUCAGGUAGUUGGUAGGGUAAAGGCCUACCAAGCCUAUGACGGAUAGCUGGCCUGAGAGGGUGGUCAGCCAGAGGGGCACUGAGACACGGGCCCCACUCCUACGGGAGGCAGCAAUCAGGAAUAGUCGGCAAUGGGCGAAAGCCUGACCGCGCGACACCGCGUGCAGGAAGAAACUCUUCGGAGCGUAAACUGCUGUGAUAAGGGAAGAAAGGCCCGCUUAGCGGGCUUUGACGGUACCUUAUAAGAAAGGGGCCGCUAACUGCGUGCCAGAAGCGUCGGUAAUACGUGGGCCCCAAACGUUAUCCGGUUUUAUUGGGCUUAAAGGGUCGUGUAGGCGGUGCGAUAAGUCUUGGUUUAAAUACUACGGCUUAACCGUAGGACAGGCUAAGAUACUAUCGAACUAGAGUUAUCUUAAGGGAAACUGGAACUCAGGGAGGAGUAGUGAAAUGCGUUGAUACCCUGGGGAACACCAGUGGCGAAGGCGAGUUUCUAGAAGGUAACUGACGCUGAAACACGAAAGCUAGGGGAGCGAAGCAGAUUAGAGACCUGCGUAGUCCUAGCCGUAAACUAUGCUUGCUAGCUGCAUUGACCCCGCUUUUGCGGGGUUGGUGUGGCGAAGGGAAACCGUUAAGCAAGCCGCCUGGGGAGUACGACCGCAAGGUUAAAACUCAAAGGAAUUGGCGGGGAGGCACACAACCAGUGGAACAUGUGGUUUAAUUCGAAACGAACCGAAGAACCUCACCAGGACUUGACAUGCCA
rnacentral:rRNA from 1 species